GAUGAACGCUGGCGGCGUGCCUAAUACAUGCAAGUCGAGCGAACGGACGAGAAGCUUGCUUCUCUGAUGUUAGCGGCGGGCGGGUGAGUAACACGUGGAUAACCUACCUAUAAGACUGGGAUAACUUCGGGAAACCGGAGCUAAUACCGGAUAAUAUUUUGAACCGCAUGGUUCAAAAGUGAAAGACGGUCUUGCUGUCACUUAUAGAUGGAUCCGCGCUGCAUUAGCUAGUUGGUAAGGUAACGGCUUCCCAAGGCAACGAUGCAUAGCCGACCUGAGAGGGUGAUCGGCCACACUGGAACUGAGACACGGUCCAGACUCCUACGGGAGGCAGCAGUAGGGAAUCUUCCGCAAAGGGCGAAAGCCUGACGGAGCAACGCCGCGUGAGUGAUGAAGGUCUUCGGAUCGUAAAACUCUGUUAUUAGGGAAGAACAUAUGUGUAAGUAACUGUGCACAUCUUGACGGUACCUAAUCAGAAAGCCACGGCUAACUACGUG
rnacentral:rRNA from 1 species